rnacentral:rRNA from 1 species
AAGCGGAGGAAAAGAAACUAACAAGGCCUCCCUAGUAACGGCGAGCGAACCGGGAAGAGCUCAAAUUUGUAAUCUGGCGCCCCUCGGGCUCAGAGUUGUAAUCUACAGAGGCGUUUUCCGUGCCGGCCCGUGCCCAACUUUGCUUGGAACAGUGAGAUCAAAGAGGGUGAAAAUCCCGUACUUGACACGACCGCCGGUGCUAUGUGAUACGUCUUCUAAGAGUCGAGUUGUUUGGGAAUGCAGCUCAAAACGGGUGGUAAAUUCCAUCUAAGGCUAAAUAUUGGCGAGAGACCGAUAGCGAACAAGUACCGUGAGGGAAAGAUGAAAAGCACUUUGGAAAGAGAGUUAAACAGCGCGUGAAAUUGUUGAAAGGGAAACGAUUGAAGUCAGUCGUGUCCGAGGGGUUCAGCCGGUCCUGCCGGUGCAUUCCUCUCGGACGGGUCGGCAUCGGUUUUGUCCGGCGGACAAGGGCAUGGGGAAAGUGGCGCCUUUGGGUGUGUUAUAGCCCCGUGUCGCAUGCGUCGGACGAGACCGAGGAUCGCAGCUCGCCUCACGGCCGGGGUUCGCCCUCGUACGAGCUUAGGAUGUUGAGGUAAUGGCUUUAAAC